rnacentral:rRNA from 1 species
AGUGAACGCUGGCGGCAGGCCUAACACAUGCAAGUCGAACGGCAGCACAAGAGAGCUUGCUCUCUGGGUGGCGAGUGGCGGACGGGUGAGGAACACAUCGGAAUCUACCCUGUCGUGGGGGAUAACGUAGGGAAACUCACGCUAAUACCGCAUACGAACUAUGGUUGAAAGCGGCGGACCGCAAGGCGUCGCGCGAUUGGAUGAGCCGAUGUCCGAUUAGCUAGUUGGCGGGGUAAAGGCCCACCAAGGCGACGAUCGGUAGCUGGUCUGAGAGGAUGAUCAGCCACAUUGGAACUGAGACACGGUCCAGACUCCUACGGGAGGCAGCAGUGGGGAAUAUUCGACAAUGGGGGCAACCCUGAUCCAGCCAUGCCGCGUGAGUGAAGAAGGCCUUCGGGUUGUAAAGCACUUUUGUUGGGGAAGAAAAGCGGUCGGUUAAUACCCGAUUGUUCUGACGGUACCCAAAGAAUAAGCACCGGCUAACUUCGUGCCAGCCGCCGCCGUAA